AGCAGCCGCAGUAAUUCCAGCUCCAAUAGCGUAUAUUAAAGUUGUUGCAGUUAAAAAGCUCGUAGUUGAAUUUCGGGGUUAGUAGGUUGGUCAUGCCACAGGUAUGUACUGAUCUUACUGAUUCCUCCUUCCUGAUGAACCGGAAUGCCAUUAAUUUGGUGUUGCGGGGAAACUGGACUGUUACUUUGAAAAAAUUAGAGUGUUUAAAGCAGGCUAACGCUUGAAUACAUUAGCAUGGAAUAAUGAAAUAGGACGUUCGAUCCUAUUUUGUUGGUUUCUAGGAUUGACGUAAUGAUUAAUAGGGAUAGUUGGGGGCAUUAGUAUUCAAUUGUCAGAGAUGAAAUUCUUGGAUUUAUUGAAGACUAACUACUGCGAAAGCAUUUGCCAAGGAUGUUUUCAUUAAUCAAGAACGAAAGUUAGGGGAUCGAAGACGAUCAGAUACCGUCGUAGUCUUAACCAUAAACUAUGCCGACUAGGGAUCGGAUGAUGUUAAUUUUAUAAUGACUCAUUC
rnacentral:rRNA from 1 species